AUUGAGCCUUGAUGUGUAGGAUAGGUGGGAGGCUUUGAAGCGUGGACGCCAGUCUGCGUGGAGCCGACCUUGAAAUACCACCCUUUAAUGUUUGAUGUUCUAACGUGGACCCGUAAUCCGGGUUGCGGACAGUGUCUGGUGGGUAGUUUGACUGGGGCGGUCUCCUCCUAAAGAGUAACGGAGGAGCACGAAGGUUGGCUAAUCCUGGUCGGACAUCAGGAGGUUAGUGCAAUGGCAUAAGCCAGCUUGACUGCGAGCGUGACGGCGCGAGCAGGUGCGAAAGCAGGUCAUAGUGAUCCGGUGGUUCUGAAUGGAAGGGCCAUCGCUCAACGGAUAAAAGGUACUCCGGGGAUAACAGGCUGAUACCGCCCAAGAGUUCAUAUCGACGGCGGUGUUUGGCACCUCGAUGUCGGCUCAUCACAUCCUGGGGCUGAAGUAGGUCCCAAGGGUAUGGCUGUUCGCCAUUUAAAGUGGUACGCGAGCUGGGUUUAGAACGUCGUGAGACAGUUCGGUCCCUAUCUGCCGUGGGCGCUGGAGAACUGAGGGGGGCUGCUCCUAGUACGAGAGGACCGGAGUGGACGCAUCACUGGUGUUCGGGUUGUCAUGCCAAUGGCACUGCCCGGUAGCUAAAUGCGGAAGAGAUAAGUGCUGAAAGCAUCUAAGCACGAAACUUGCCCCGAGAUGAGUUCUCCCUGAGACUUAGAGUCUCCUGAAGGAACGUUGAAGACGACGACGUUGAUAGGCCGGGUGUGUAAGCGCAGCGAUGCGUUGAGCUAACCGGUACUAAUGAACCGUGAGGCUUAACCUU
rnacentral:rRNA from 1 species